rnacentral:tRNA from 1 species
AGUGCGUUGCUGGAGCCGUCGGCGGACUGGUCUUGAAAACCGUCGUGGCAGCGAUGUCACCGUGGGUUCAAAUCCCACACCCACCG